UACGGAGGGUGCAAGCGUUAAUCGGAAUUACUGGGCGUAAAGCGCACGCAGGUGGCUGAGUCAGUCGAUUGUGAAAGCCCUGGGCUUAACCUGGGAAUUGCAGUCGAUACUACUCAGCUAGAGUAUGGGAGAGGGUAGUGGAAUUCCCGGUGUAGCGGUGAAAUGCGUAGAUAUCAGGAGGAACACCAAUGGCGAAGGCAGAUCUCUGGGCCGUAACUGACGCUGAGGAGCGAAAGCAUGGGGAGCGAACAGG
rnacentral:rRNA from 1 species